GAUGAAGAACGUAGCGAAAUGCGAUAAGUAAUGUGAAUUGCAGAAUUCAGUGAAUCAUCGAAUCUUUGAACGCACAUUGCGCCCUCUGGUAUUCCGGGGGGCAUGCCUGUUCGAGCGUCAUUAUAACCACUUAAGCUCUCGCUUGGUAUUGGGGUUCGCGGUUCCGCGGCCCCUAAAAUCAGUGGCGGUGCCUGUCGGCUCUACGCGUAGUAAUACUCCUCGCGUCUGGGUCCGGUAGGUCUACUUGCCAGCAACCCCCAAUUUUUACAGGUUGACCUCGGAUCAGGUAGGGAUACCCGCUGAACUUAAGCAUAUCAAUAAGCGGAGGA
rnacentral:misc_RNA from 1 species